CUCAGGCAGCAGAACGGCGAGCUUCUGCCAGAGAGACAGGUGGUGGAGUGGUUCGUCCAGAUCGCGAUGGCCCUGCAGUAUUUACACAAAAAACGGAUCUUGCACCGGGACCUGAAAACCAGGAAUAUCUUCCUUACUGACAUCAACAUUAUAAAAGUGGGAGAUCUGGGCUUUGCACACAUUCUGCAACAUCAUGACACUGCCAGCACCUUGGUCGGAACACCAUUAUACAUGAGCCCUGAGCUUAUUUUAAAUAAGCCAUACGACUACAAGGUCUCAAAGACAAAUCAAUGAGAGAUUUCCCCUAUCCAGUACGUCAUCAAGAAGCUGAACCUAAGAACAUCGUCAAAGCGAGAACGCCGGGCGGCUGAACAGGAAGCUCAGCUGCUCUCACAGCUCAAACAUCCCAAUAUUGUCACCUACCGGGAAUCAUGGGAAGGAAAGGACCAUCAAUUGUAUAUAGUUAUGGGCUUCUGUGAGGGAGGAGACCUGUAUCACAGGUUAAAGCAGCAGAACGGCGAGCUUCUGCCAGAGAGACAGGUGGUGGAUUGGUUUGUCCAGAUCGCGACGGCCCUGCAGGUAUCAAAACCUUCUGACUGAUUAGAUUUAAGAAUUCAACAGACUUAUACGAUCAGAUGCACCCUUCAGCUAUUAAUAGGUAGCACUAUGAUUUCUCAUGUUUCUUUUCUUGUUUUCUUUAGUAUUUACACGGGAACACAUCUUGCACCGACACCUGAAAACGCAGAACAUCUUCCUGACUAAGACCAACAUUAUUAAAGUGGGAGAUCUGGGCAUCGCGGGUUCUGGAGAAUCAGAACGACAUGGCCAGAACCCUGAUUGGAACACCUUAUUACAUGAGCCCUGAGCUUUUCUCCAACAAGCCAUACAACUACAAGGUCUCAAAGACGAAUCAAUUUUUUUUGGCUAAAACUCCCAUAUAUUACUGACUGCAGCCUAUUUAUUGAUCUGCAUAAUAUAUAAUCCUCACUCUGUCCUGUCAACAGAAGUAGACCACCGAUGAGCAGGUAUUAUGAGUGGUUGUCCAUUGUCAGGACAGAGGAACUAAAAAUUUUCCAGCUGAU